AUCCCGUGUCGUUCUGUAACGGGUUGGAUCCGACGCCUCUUUAAGGCUCUCCUACCCAACUCCUACUCAAUACGUCCGCGACGUGCAGAACGGUAACUUGUCGCCUAAAUAUCCAAGCUUGGGUACACGGGGAAACCCACCCCCUUGGACAGAUGGGCGGCAAGGCUGAAUUGAGAGGG
rnacentral:ribozyme from 1 species